rnacentral:rRNA from 1 species
GACGAACGCUGGCGGCGUGCUUAACACAUGCAAGUCGAACGGAAAGGCCCCUUUUGGGGUACUCGAGUGGCGAACGGGUGAGUAACACGUGAGUAACCUGCCCUUGACUUCGGGAUAACUUCAGGAAACUGGGGCUAAUACCGGAUAGGAAUCCUUGCUGCAUGGUGGGGGUUGGAAAGCUUCGGCGGUUUUGGAUGGACUCGCGGCUUAUCAGCUUGUUGGUGGGGUAGUGGCUUACCAAGGCUUUGACGGGUAGCCGGCCUGAGAGGGCGACCGGCCACAUUGGGACUGAGAUACGGCCCAGACUCCGACGGGAGGCAGCAGGGGGGAAGAUUGAACAAGGGGCGGAAGCCUGAUGCAGCAACGCCGCGGGCGGGAUGACGGCCUUCGGGUUGUAAACCGCUUUCAGCAGGGGCGAAGCUUGUGGUGACGGUACCUGCAGAAGAAGCACCGGCUAACUACGUG